rnacentral:rRNA from 1 species
UUAUGUGAUCGUCUCUCGCAUAUCAAUAAGCGGAGGAAAAGAAACUAACAAGGAUUCCCCUAGUAACGGCGAGUGAAGCGGGAAGAGCUCAAAUUUGAAAUCUUAAAGGGUUUCCCUUUACGAAUUGUAGUUUAAAGAAGUGUUUUCUGUUGAGGUUUUGGUAAAAGUUCUUUGGAAUAGGACAUCAUAGAGGGUGAGAAUCCCGUAUUUGACCUUUACUUUCAACUUUGUGAUACACUUUCAAAGAGUCGGAUUGUUUGGGAAUGCAGUCCAAAAUGGGUGGUAAAUUUCAUCUAAAGCUAAAUAUUGGCGAGAGACCGAUAGCGAACAAGUACCGUGAGGGAAAGAUGAAAAGAACUUUGAAAAGAGAGUUAAACAGUACGUGAAAUUGUCAAAAGGGAAGCGUUUGACACCAGUGUUGUUUUUCUGAAAAUCAAUUAAAGAACUGUUUAUGCUAAGCUGUUUAGACUUUAUCAGCUAUCUGUUUAGUUUUGAGCUUUUCUUUAAUGCACUUUUCAGUUAACAAGUCAACAUCAAUUUCUUUUGCUGCUAAAAAAGCUUGAGGAAGGUGGCUUGAGAUUCGUCUUAAGUGUUUAUAGCCUCUUGCCUAUGCAGUCGGAGAGAUUGAGGUCUGCAGCGUAGAUCCUUCGGGGCUAAAUGCAUUUGUGCUAAGUUAUAGCAUUUUAUAGACAACUUGUUGACUAUGAUUUGUCUUGUAGCUUACUCGCUUAUGUUAUUUUACCUACGCUUAGGAUGUUGAGCGCAUGUCUCUCUCU